UUGGGUCCUCAGCAUUGUAACUUGUGUUACAGAACUUCAAGUGAAGAAUUUUACCAAAAAAAACAGGGUUGAUUGCUUUGGAGAUCAUCAGUGUCUUGAUGGGAAAUUUCAGAACAGUUACCCUCGCUGACAUUCAUAAAUAUCAACUCCUGUGCCAUUAAAGUUAUUAUUCCAAGUUGUGCCCCUUGUCACCCAGGCACUUAGAAAGCAGAAGGAUUUGAAUGAGGGAAGAGCAGACAUACAGACAUAGAGACAGGAUUUAAGUGCCUUACAAAUUUCCUGCCCAGGGUUUAGACAAUCAGUCAAUGGGACCCUGCUGACAAAGUAUGGGAGAAAUAAUUUUAAGCAGAAGGGUGGGUUUCUGCCUUGUGAAUUAGCAGUCAGGGAGUAUUGCUGUUCUUUCUGAAAUCAUUGCUAGAAGCCACAGCCGCUGUUUUCUGGGCUGAACAUCACGGUGACAGGGUAGGCAGGUAAAGCAUUCCCAUGUAGGCCUAUUUUCUGGGUUAUUUUGUCACUGUCUUCUCAAUAUGUCACUUCUCUCCCUUCAAAAUCUGACAAGUCUCUGCAUGCUUUUUGUGACUAAUUGAGCCAGAAUAAAAUUUCCUGCCUCUGUAUGUUCUUGAAUCGAUAAGGUAAAGCAAAGCAAAGUGUCUUUCUUCCUGAAAACUUCUGUCUGAGAGCUGUCUCCAGCAGCAGACUGGAGCUGACAAAAUGAAAGGCCCACCAGGAGAUGAAUCUGAAGUCUUUUAAGUAUGUGGGCAGCAAGGUGAAGACAGCAAGAUGAUGAAUUGCAGAUUUCUGUUCGAGUCUCCUUUCAGCUUCAUUUAUUCCUAUUGCUACCUUUUGAUAUCCUCCUCUCCCAUUUUUCCAUUUGCACUUGAUCUUUCUUCUUCCAUUUGCCCUUUUGAGAGCAGCAGUUCAAAUGUCGUGUGUAGAUAAAUCAUUUGAUAUGAUUUUACAUUUGUUUGUCUCUAGACAAACAGCAUAUGGUCCAUCUGAAAUUCCCAAAAUAAUAGCUUUAUCUGCAGAAAUCGCUGUUCUUGAGUGCAGUUUUUCAGGUAUCAAGUUAUAUUAAAAUCAGUUCCAGCACUGAUGGAAAAGAGUCCUGGAAAAUACCUGUAUAAGACCACAAAAUUUGCCACUCUGGAUUAGGGUUUCUAGGCAAAUAUUUCAAUCUGUAGCUAUUGUUACCUGACUGCAAGAUUGAAAAUACCUGAGUUAAAGGAGGCAAAUACUGCUGCUGGAAGAAUGAUUCU